AAUGAACGCUGGCGGCAGGCCUAACACAUGCAAGUCGAACGGCAGCACGGACUUCGGUCUGGUGGCGAGUGGCGAACGGGUGAGUAAUGUAUCGGAACGUGCCCAGUCGUGGGGGAUAACGUAGUGAAAAUUACGCUAAUACCGCAUACGAUCUAUGGAUGAAAGCGGGGGAUCGCAAGACCUCGCGCGAUUGGAGCGGCCGAUAUCAGAUUAGGUAGUUGGUGGGGUAAAGGCCCACCAAGCCAACGAUCUGUAGCUGGUCUGAGAGGACGACCAGCCACACUUGAACUGAGACACGGUCCAGCCUCCUACGGGAGGCAGCAGUGGGGAAUUUUGGACAAUGGGCGAAAGCCUGAUCCAGCCAUUCCGCGUGCAGGAUGAAGGCCCUCGGGUUGUAAACUGCUUUUGUACAGAACGAAAAGGUUUCUACUAAUACUAGGAGCUCAUGACGGUACUGUAAGAAUAAGCACCGGCUAACUACGUGCCAGCCGCCGCCGUAA
rnacentral:rRNA from 1 species